GGGUUGUGAGGUUAAGCGACUAAGCGUACACGGUGGAUGCCCUGGCAGUCAGAGGCGAUGAAGGACGUGCUAAUCUGCGAAAAGCGCCGGCGAGGUGAUAUGAACCUUUGACCCGGCGAUGUCCGAAUGGGGAAACCCAGUGCAAUCCGUUGCACUAUCGUUAACUGAAUACAUAGGUUAACGAGGCGAACCGGGGGAACUGAAACAUCUAAGUACCCCGAGGAAAAGAAAUCAACCGAGAUUCCCCCAGUAGCGGCGAGCGAACGGGGAGCAGCCCGGAGUCUGAAUCAGCUUGUGUGUUAGUGGAACGGUCUGGAAAGUCCGACGGUACAGGGUGAUAGUCCCGUACACGAAAGCACACAUGCUGUGAACUCGAAGAGUAGGGCGGGACACGUGGUAUCCUGUCUGAAUAUGGGGGGACCAUCCUCCAAGGCUAAAUACUCCUGACUGACCGAUAGUGAACCAGUACCGUGAGGGAAAGGCGAAAAGAACCCCGGCGAGGGGAGUGAAAAAGAACCUGAAACCGUGUACGUACAAGCAGUGGGAGCCUCUUUAUGGGGUGACUGCGUACCUUUUGUAUAAUGGGUCAGCGACUUAUAUUCUGUAGCAAGGUUAACCGUAUAGGGGAGCCGAAGGGAAACCGAGUCUUAACUGGGCGUUAAGUUGCAGGGUAUAGACCCGAAACCCGGUGAUCUAGCCAUGGGCAGGUUGAAGGUUGGGUAACACUAACUGGAGGACCGAACCGACUAAUGUUGAAAAAUUAGCGGAUGACCUGUGGCUGGGGGUGAAAGGCCAAUCAAACCGGGAGAUAGCUGGUUCUCCCCGAAAGCUAUUUAGGUAGCGCCUCGUGAACUCAUCUUCGGGGGUAGAGCACUGUUUCGGCUAGGGGGCCAUCCCGGCUUACCAACCCGAUGCAAACUACGAAUACCGAAGAAUGUUAUCACGGGAGACACACGGCGGGUGCUAACGUCCGUCGUGAAGAGGGAAACAACCCAGACCGCCAGCUAAGGUCCCAAAGUCAUGGUUAAGUGGGAAACGAUGUGGGAAGGCACAGACAGCCAGGAUGUUGGCUUAGAAGCAGCCAUCAUUUAAAGAAAGCGUAAUAGCUCACUGGUCGAGUCGGCCUGCGCGGAAGAUGUAACGGGGCUAAACCAUGCACCGAAGCUGCGGCAGCGACACUAUGUGUUGUUGGGUAGGGGAGCGUUCUGUAAGCCGUUGAAGGUGUCCUGUGAGGGGUGCUGGAGGUAUCAGAAGUGCGAAUGCUGACAUAAGUAACGAUAAAGCGGGUGAAAAGCCCGCUCGCCGGAAGACCAAGGGUUCCUGUCCAACGUUAAUCGGGGCAGGGUGAGUCGACCCCUAAGGCGAGGCCGAAAGGCGUAGUCGAUGGGAAACAGGUUAAUAUUCCUGUACUUGGUGUUACUGCGAAGGGGGGACGGAGAAGGCUAUGUCAGCCGGGCGACGGUUGUCCCGGUUUAAGCAUGUAGGCGGAGGUUCCAGGUAAAUCCGGUACCUUGUUAACGCUGAGGUGUGAUGACGAGGCACUACGGUGCUGAAGUGAUAAAUGCCCUGCUUCCAGGAAAAGCCUCUAAGCAUCAGGUAACACGAAAUCGUACCCCAAACCGACACAGGUGGUCAGGUAGAGAAUACCAAGGCGCUUGAGAGAACUCGGGUGAAGGAACUAGGCAAAAUGGUGCCGUAACUUCGGGAGAAGGCACGCUGAUGUGUAGGUGAAGCCCCUGCGGGCGGAGCUGAAAUCAGUCGAAGAUACCAGCUGGCUGCAACUGUUUAUUAAAAACACAGCACUGUGCAAACACGAAAGUGGACGUAUACGGUGUGACGCCUGCCCGGUGCCGGAAGGUUAAUUGAUGGGGUUAGCGGCAACGCGAAGCUCUUGAUCGAAGCCCCGGUAAACGGCGGCCGUAACUAUAACGGUCCUAAGGUAGCGAAAUUCCUUGUCGGGUAAGUUCCGACCUGCACGAAUGGCGUAAUGAUGGCCAGGCUGUCUCCACCCGAGACUCAGUGAAAUUGAACUCGCUGUGAAGAUGCAGUGUACCCGCGGCAAGACGGAAAGACCCCGUGAACCUUUACUAUAGCUUGACACUGAACACUGGUCCUUGAUGUGUAGGAUAGGUGGGAGGCUUUGAAGCGUGGACGCCAGUCUGCGUGGAGCCAACCUUGAAAUACCACCCUUUAAUGGCUGGUGUUCUAACGUAGACCCGUAAUCCGGGUUGCGGACAGUGUCUGGUGGGUAGUUUGACUGGGGCGGUCUCCUCCCAAAGAGUAACGGAGGAGCACGAAGGUUGGCUAAUCCUGGUCGGACAUCAGGAGGUUAGUGCAAUGGCAUAAGCCAGCUUGACUGCGAGCGUGACGGCGCGAGCAGGUGCGAAAGCAGGUCAUAGUGAUCCGGUGGUUCUGAAUGGAAGGGCCAUCGCUCAACGGAUAAAAGGUACUCCGGGGAUAACAGGCUGAUACCGCCCAAGAGUUCAUAUCGACGGCGGUGUUUGGCACCUCGAUGUCGGCUCAUCACAUCCUGGGGCUGAAGUAGGUCCCAAGGGUAUGGCUGUUCGCCAUUUAAAGUGGUACGCGAGCUGGGUUUAGAACGUCGUGAGACAGUUCGGUCCCUAUCUGCCGUGGGCGCUGGAGAAUUGAGGGGGGCUGCUCCUAGUACGAGAGGACCGGAGUGGACGCAUCACUGGUGUUCGGGUUGUCAUGCCAAUGGCACUGCCCGGUAGCUAAAUGCGGAAGAGAUAAGUGCUGAAAGCAUCUAAGCACGAAACUUGCCCCGAGAUGAGUUCUCCCUGAGACUUUAAGUCUCCUGAAGGAACGUUGAAGACGACGACGUUGAUAGGUCGGGUGUGUAAGCGCAGCGAUGCGUUGAGCUAACCGAUACUAAUGAACCGUGAGGCUUAACCUUACAACGCCGAAGCUGUU
rnacentral:rRNA from 1 species